rnacentral:rRNA from 1 species
AGUUUGAUCCUGGCUCAGGAUGAACGCUAGCUACAGGCUUAACACAUGCAAGUCGAGGGGAAACGGCAUUUUUAGCUUGCUAAGAAUGGACGUCGACCGGCGCACGGGUGAGUAACGCGUAUCCAACCUGCCCAUGACUUGGGAAUAACCUUGCGAAAGUAAGACUAAUGCCCAAUGAUAUUCCUAGAAGACAUCUGAAAGGAAUUAAAGAUUUAUCGGUGAUGGAUGGGGAUGCGUCUGAUUAGCUUGUUGGCGGGGUAACGGCCCACCAAGGCGACGAUCAGUAGGGGUUCUGAGAGGAAGGUCCCCCACAUUGGAACUGAGACACGGUCCAAACUCCUACGGGAGGCAGCAGUGAGGAAUAUUGGUCAAUGGGCGAGAGCCUGAACCAGCCAAGUAGCGUGCAGGAUGACGGCCCUAUGGGUUGUAAACUGCUUUUAUAAGGGAAUAAAGUGAGUCACGUGUGACUUUUUGCAGGUACCGCAUGAAUAAGGACCGGCUAAUUCCGUGCCAGCAGCCGCGGUAAUACGGAAGGUCCGGGCGUUAUCCGGAUUUAUUGGGUUUAAAGGGAGCGCAGGCCGGGUAUUAAGCGUGUUGUGAAAUGUAGGCGCCCAACGUCUGCACCGCAGCGCGAACUGGUGCCCUUGAGUACGCACGACGUUGGCGGAAUUCGCCGUGUAGCGGUGAAAUGCUUAGAUAUGGCGAAGAACUCCGAUUGCGAAGGCAGCUGACGGGAGCGCUACUGACGCUCAUGCUCGAAAGCGCGGGUAUCGAACAGGAUUAGAUACCCUGGUAGUCCGCGCGGUAAACGAUGGAUGCCCGCUAUUUGCGCAUUAGCGCAAGUGGCCAAGUGAAAACGUUAAGCAUCCCACCUGGGGAGUACGCCGGCAACGGUGAAACUCAAAGGAAUUGACGGGGGCCCGCACAAGCGGAGGAACAUGUGGUUUAAUUCGACGCAACGCGAAGAACCUUACCAGGUCUUGACAUUGAUCGCUAUUCCAAGAAAUUGGAAGUUCCUCUUCGGAGGACGAGAAAACAGGUGGUGCACGGCUGUCGUCAGCUCGUGUCGUGAGAUGUUGGGUUAAGUCCCGCAACGAGCGCAACCCCUAUCUUAUGUUACCAGCACGUUAUGGUGGGGACUCAUGAGAGACCGCCGCGGACAACGCGGAGGAAGGUGGGGAUGACGUCAAGUCAUCAUGCCCCUUAGGACCUGGGCUACACACGUACUACAAUGGGUGUCAACAAAGAGAAGCGAAGCCGCGAGGCAGAGCAAACCUCAAAAACACACCCCCAGUUCAGAUUGCAGGCUGCAACCCGCCUGCAUGAAGUAGGAAUCGCUAGUAAUCCCGAAUCAGAAUGUCGGGGUGAAUACAUUCCCGGGUGUUGCACACACCGCCCGUCAAG